CUAUUAUCCUUUUAGCUAAUGGCGAAAUUACCAUUUUUACUCUGCCAGAUAGUUAUUCUUUUGGUAAUAGAAACACUAACCUUUUUUCUCCCUAGGGAUUUAUUAGUAAGCACGUGUAAUCUUUGGCAAAAGGGAACCUGAAAAUGCAUUUCCCUGGGGACCUGGCGCCAGUCGAUGCCUUUCAGCCUGCGGCUGACCUUGGAGACGCAGAAAAGCAGGAUUCCAGGACACAUUUACGACCGUCAUAAUUGGAGAGACAGCCCUGCCCCUCCAAGGCCACCCUGCAGGCUUUGUCUACCAGGCACUUCCUCCUCUCUCCCAGGAAGCACGUGUGACUCUAACACUCCCUUGCGCUCCCACGUUGCCUCUUGGAGAUUCUGGGGGAGAAGGCGGUU
rnacentral:lncRNA from 1 species